UACGUAGGGUGCAAGCGUUGUCCGGAAUUAUUGGGCGUAAAGCGUCCGCAGGUGGCAGUUCAAGUCUGCUGUCAAAGACCGGGGCUUAACUUCGGAAAGGCAGUGGAAACUGAACAGCUAGAGUAUGGUAGGGGCAGAGGGAAUUCCUGGUGUAGCGGUGAAAUGCGUAGAUAUCUGGAGGAACACCGGUGGCGAAGGCGGCAUCCUGGACCGAUACUGACGCUGAGGAGCGAAAGCCAGGGGAGCAAACGGG
rnacentral:rRNA from 1 species